GUAACCCAGUGUUUUUUCUCUCUAAUUUUCUCCCUUUCACCUCUGAAUUUAUCUGUUUGUUUGUGGAAAUAUCACUACUUCUUGGCCUUUUCUUUUUUAAUAGGCUCAUAAUACCGAGCUAGAAGAUGAACCUCCAACAAAAAGACGACUUUCAUCAGCCUUUGUCAAGGUGACUGGACAAUAACACUUUGAGUGGAGCAAUUCCUGCAUCUUUGGCUAACAUGACACAGCUUGCCUUCCUGGACCUGUCAUACAACAAUCUAAGUGGUCCAGUACCAAGGUUGCAUGCCAAGACCUUCAAGUA